rnacentral:rRNA from 1 species
AGAAUGACUCUCGGCAACGGAUAUCUAGGCUCUUGCAUCGAUGAAGAACGUAGCGAAAUGCGAUACUUGGUGUGAAUUGCAAAAUCCCGUGAACCAUCGAGUCUUUGAACGCAAGUUGCUCCCGAAGCCAUCAGGUUGAGGGCACGUCUGCCUGGGCGUCACAU